rnacentral:rRNA from 1 species
UACGAGGGGGGCAAAUGUUGUUCGGAAUCACUGGGCGUAAAGGGAGCGUAGGCGGGUUUUAAGUCAGGUGUUUAAUCCCGGGGCCCAACCCCGGACAGGCACUUGAAACUGGGAAUCUUGAAUAGUGGAGAGGUCAGUGGAAUUGGGGGUGUAGCGGUGGAAUGCGUAGAGAUCCGGAAGAACACCGGUGGCGAAGGCGGCCUGCUGGGCAGUAGCUGACACUGAUGCGCGACAGCGUGGGGAGCAAACAGG